rnacentral:piRNA from 1 species
UACCGGUGGAUAAACACAGAACACUACGU